GUGGGGAAUAUUGGGCAAUGGGCGCAAGCCUGACCCAGCAACGCCGCGUGAAGGAAGAAGGCUUUCGGGUUGUAAACUUCUUUUACCAGGGACGAAAAAAAUGACGGUACCUGGAGAAUAAGCCACGGCUAACUACGUGCCAGCAGCCGCGGUAAUACGUAGGUGGCAAGCGUUGUCCGGAUUUACUGGGUGUAAAGGGCGCGUAGGCGGGAGAGCAAGUCAGGAGUGAAAUCUAUGGGCUUAACCCAUAAAUUGCUUUUGAAACUGUUUUUCUUGAGUGAUGGAGAGGCAAGCGGAAUUCCUAGUGUAGCGGUGAAAUGCGUAGAUAUUAGGAGGAACACCAGUGGCGAAGGCGGCUUCCUGGCACAAUACUGACGCUCAUGUGCGAAAGCUAGGGCAGCGAACGGGAUUAGAAACCCCGGUAGUCC
rnacentral:rRNA from 1 species